GACGGACGCUGGCGGCGUGCUUAACACAUGCAAGUCGAACGGAAAGGCCUCUUUUGCGGGGUACACGAGUGGCGCACGGGUGAGUAACACGUGAGUAACCUGCCCUUGAUUUUGGGAUAACUUCAGGAAAAUGGGGCUAAUAUCGGAUAGGAGCUCCUGAUGCAUGGUGGGGGUUGGAAAGUUUCGGCGGUUGGGAUUGGACUCGCGGCUUAUCAGCUUGUUGGUGCGGUCGUGGCUUACCAAGGCUUGGACGGGUAGGCGGCCUGAGAGAGUGACCGGCCGCAUUGGGACUGAGAUACGGCCCAGACAGCUACGGGAGGCAGCAGUGGGGAAGAGUGCACAAGGGGUGGAGGCCUGGUGCAGCAACUCCGUGUGCGGGAUGACUGCCUUCGGGUUGAAAACCACUUUCGCACAUGACUGGGCUGUUUGUGACGGUAGUGGGUAAAGAAGCACCGGCUAACUACGUG
rnacentral:rRNA from 1 species